rnacentral:rRNA from 1 species
AUUGAACGCUGGCGGCAUGCCUUACACAUGCAAGUCGAGCGGCAGCGCGGGGGCAACCCUGGCGGCGAGCGGCGAACGGGUGAGUAAUACAUCGGAACGUGUCCAGUAGCGGGGGAUAACCUGUCGAAAGAUAGGCUAAUACCGCAUACGACCUACGGGUGAAAGCGGGGGACCGCAAGGCCUCGCACUAUUGGAGCGGCCGAUGUCGGAUUAGCUAGUUGGCGGGGUAACGGCCCACCAAGGCGACGAUCCGUAGCUGGUCUGAGAGGACGACCAGCCGCACGGGAACUGAGAAACGGUCCAGACUCCGACGGGAGGCAGCGGUGGGUAAUUUUGGACAAUGGGCGCAAGCCUGAUCCAGCCAGGCCGGGUGAGUGAAGAAGGCCUUCGGGUUGUAAAGCUCUUUCGGCGGGGACGAAACGGUCCGUGCCAACACCACGGACUAAUGACGGUACUCGCAGAAGAAGCACCGGCUAACUACGUGCCAGCCGCCGCCGUAA